AACGCACCUUGCGCCCUUUGGUAUUCCAGAGGGCAUGCCUGUUUGAGUGUCAUGAAAUUAUCCUCUUAAAAGGGACUUGAUGGAUUUUUGCAAUUCAGUUUGCUAAUCUGAAAUAUAGUAGCCUCGGUGAAAAACAUGAUAAUUGUCUUUGUUUUGACCUGCCGAAUUUGGCUGUAAACCCCCCACUCUUUUAUUUUUGGCCUCAAAUCAGGUAGGGCUACCCGCUGAACUUAA
rnacentral:misc_RNA from 1 species